AAGACUAUACUUUCAGGGAUCAUUUCUAUAGUUCGUUACUAGAGAAGUUUCUCUGAACGUGUAGAGCACCGAGAUCAAUGGA
rnacentral:snoRNA from 1 species